rnacentral:rRNA from 1 species
CUCGUAGGUGGUUUGUCGCGUUGUUCGUGAAAUCCCACGGCUUAACUGUGGGCGUGCGGGCGAUACGGGCAGACUGGAGUACUGCAGGGGAGACUGGAAUUCCUGGUGUAGCGGUGGAAUGCGCAGAUAUCAGGAGGAACACCGGUGGCGAAGGCGGGUCUCUGGGCAGUAACUGACGCUGAGGAGCGAAAGCGUGGGGAGCGAACA